CCCACAGCCUGACCAGCAAGGUAGUCAUGGGAGAGCUGGAGAAGGGAUCAGGGCAAGAAGGGCAAGGAGGAGAUCCACCAUUUAGGAAGAGCUCUCCUUUUUCUGGAGAUUAUUUGCCAUUUUCAUUUGUGAAAACAACAGAACCAAAGAAGAACCAGCUUUUCUUUGGAAUAAAACAGGUAUGAACCAACCCAUUAAAGGUGAGCCUCCAUCGGUCAAGAUGAAGAAAGGCUGCAAUUCCUGGACAGAAAAAAAACAAGCAGAGAAAAUGAGAAGAGCUUCAAAUAAAUAAUUAAUAAUAAACAAAUGAAUGGAUAAAUAAAUAAGUUCUGAAAUCUUAGCAGAUUCAUCCCGCUGAGAUGCAACGUGUCAUUUUGCCUUCAGCGUUUCAGAAUUC